GCCUAUGACUUUGGGUGACUUUUCCAGGGAUGCUAGGGGUCGGAUAUAUCCCUCAACCCAACCUAUGACAUUGGGAGACUUUUACAGGGAUGCGAGGGGUUGGAUAUAUCCCUCAAUCCAACCUUUAAAUAUGGCAGUCUGUUAGUAUGUACAGACAAUGUGUAAUGAGUGUUUGUAAUGGUAAUACACGAGCCUCUCUGUACUGUGUUUUGCAUCCCUUACAGCCUCACACUUGGCCACAUGCUGAGCCACACACCAAACCCUCAGUGGCUCGGCACCAAGCACACACUAACACUACCUCUCCCUUUUACAGAGAACACUAACUAGACUGUGAGAGGAACAACCUUGGCGGGGCUUCCUGUUCUGUGCAUAGGCUGGUGUUGGUGCUCUCCUGUGGCCAUGCUGCUGUGUCUUAAGUUUUCACUACGCCACAAACAGAAGUUGUAGAUGAUGCCAAGCGCUGAGUCACUGAUAAAAGAGGUCACCCACACUGAAGGCUAGGUUUGACCCUCUUCCAUUGAGUGCUGGCAACAGUGCACCCAACAUCAGCAAGGGUGUGAUGGGGUGGAGCUGAGGACUGGUGCUGGAGGGCUGAGAGGAAGCCGCUAGGACUCAAACAGCACUCCAGUCUGGGUUUUAACACUGCCAACCAUGACUCACAAGACCCUUCACUGCUGGAUGCCGGGACAACGCACACUCACCAGCGCUCCAUCACUGCUUCACACAGGAACUCACCCAAAGAAAAAAAUAAAUAAAGCUUGUGAAUCUGGAUGCUUAACAUAAACAAAACAUAACCCGGUAGCAGCGGGGAUCGAGUUUCUUAAUGGUCCGCCCAACUGAGAAAAAUGAGAAAAAAUCACCCCUCACACAAACCAUUUCAUAAUACAUACAUAUCAAAGCAUUUGUAAUCAGAUUAUGUAUCAUCUAUUUUUGGGGGUUUAUAUCAUGGCACAAAUUUGGCCCGUCGCUGCUACACGGUGAAGCCACAAAUUUGGCCCGUCGCUGCUAAACGGUAAAGCCACAAAUUUGGCCCGUCGCUGCUACACGGUAAAGCCACAAAUUUGGCCCGUCGCUGCUACACGGUAAAGCCACAAAUUUGGCCCGUCACUGCUACACGGUAAAGCCACAAAUUUGGCCCGUCGCUGCUACCGGGUUAACAUAAACAAAACUUAAAUUCAUACCUAAAAUAAGUUAGAACGACAUCUGAAAAAUGACCGACCGCACUAAAACCAGCAGCCGGACCACUCAAGAGAUUUUCCCGCGGUGAGGCAACGGGCGGACAGCCGUGCCCUGUAUGUGUGUACGUAUGUAUGUACACACGCUACAACCACAGAGUAUUAUAAAUAGUACACACCAGGGCUGUCCUACCGCCCUAACACUUGGCAAGACAGGAGUAUGAACUGAAUGGCGCGGCGCUCCAGCAAACCCUCCGCUCAACACACUGGUAACUACACUUUGCAACACUGUGAGGCAGCAACACAUAAAAAACAAUGUACUACAAGAAACACAAAAAUUAUUAUAGAAACACAACUUGAUCAGGUAAAAAUGGUGUUAUCUGCUUUAAAUACCGAAAACAAAAUGACCAAAUGAAAGAUAUGGAACACUGGUAACUACACUUUGCAACACUGUGAGGCAGCAACACAUACAAAACAAUGUAUGGAAAACAAAAAUGAUUAUAGUAACACAACUUCAUCAGGUAAAAAUGGUGUUAUCUGCUUUAAAUACCGAAAACAAAAUGACCAAAUGAAAGAUAUGGAACACUCGUAACUACACUUUGCAAUACUGAGGCAGCAACACAUACAAAACAAUUAUAUAAGAAACACAAAAUGAUUACAGUAACACAACUUCAUCAGGUAAAAAUGGUGUUAUCUGGUUUGAACACUGAUAACAAAAUGACCAAAUAAAAGAUAUGGAACAAAAUAACGGAAGUCUUUAUAGAAAUGUUUGUUAAGUUUAUGGAACAAAAUAACACAAGUCUAUAUAGAAAUAUUUGUUAAGUUUAUGGAACAAAAUAACAAGUCUAUAUAGAAAUGCUUGUUAAGUUUAUGGAACAAAAUAACAAGUCUAUAUAGAAAUGCUUGUUAAGUUUAUGGAACAAAAUAACAAGUCUAUAUAGAAAUGCUUAUUAAGUUUAUGGAACAAAAUAACAGAAGUCUUUAUAGAAAUGCUUGUUAAGUUUAUGGAACAAAAUAACAAGUCUAUAUAGAAAUGCUUGUUAAGUUUAUGGAACAAAAUAACAGAAGUCUUUAUAGAAAUGCUUGUUAAGUUUAUGGAACAAAAUAACAGAAGUCUUUAUAGAAAUGCUUGUUAAGUUUAUGGAACAAAAUAACAGAAGUCUUUAUAGAAAUGCUUGUUAAGUUUAUGGAACAAAAUAACAAGUCUAUAUAGAAAUGCUUGUUAAGUUUAUGGAACAAAAUAACAUAAGUCUUUAUAGAAAUGCUUGUUAACUUACUAAGGUUCAAGAAGGCUGGUUUUCCCUAACUGAAUGAUCCUUAACCCAGCAGCUGCGGGGGUCACGUUUCUUAAAGGUUCCUCUAAGCGAAUUAAUGACAAAAAAAACAUCACUCACACAAAUCAUUAUAUAAUAUACAUCAAUGCAUUUGUGAUCAAUUUAUACAUACUCUAUUUUAGGGGGGAUUAUGUCAUGUCAUGGCCCGUCGUUGGUACAUGGUAAAGCCACAAAUUUGGCCUGGCGCUGGUACAUGGUAAAGCCACAAAUUUGGCCUGGCGCUGGUACAUGGUAAAGCCACAAAUUUGGCCCAGCGCUGGUACACGGUAAAGCCACAAAUUUGUCUACGCUGGCUGGUACACGGUAAAGCCACAAAUUUGGCCUGGCGCUGGUACAUGGUAAAGCCACAAAUUUGGCCCAGCGCUGGUACACGGUAAAGCCACAAAUUUGGCCCAUUGCUGGUACAUGGUAAAGCCACAAAUUUGUCCUGUCGCUGGUACAUGGUAAAGCCACAAAUUUGGCCCAGCGCUGGUACACGGUAAAGCCACAAAUUUGGCCUGGCGCUGGUACAUGGUAAAGCCACAAAUUUGGCCCGUCGCUGGUACACGGUAAAGCCACAAAUUUGGCCCAGCGCUGGUACACGGUAAAGCCACAAAUUUGUCCCGUCGCUGCUACCAGGUUAAAGAGAGGGUUCACUGUGCGCCAGAUUCACCGCAAAACAUCCACAUUUACAGCCUAAAGAGAGGGUUCACUGCACGCCACACUCACCACAAAACAUCCACACUUACAGCCUAAAGAGAGGGUUCACUGCACGCCACACUUACCACAAAACAUCCACACUUACAGCCUAAAGAGAGGGUUCACUGCACGCCAGACCCACCACAAAACAUCCACACUUACAGCCUAGAGAGAGGGUUCACUGCACGCUGGACCCACCACAAAACAUCCACUCUUACACCCUAAAAAACACAUGGUAAACAAAACACAAAUACAAAUCUACAGUGAGUAAACAUAACAUCCGAGGGACAGUGCAAAGAAUUCUGCUGGUGGGGGCGACCGGCCCUUUAGAAACCAUGCAGGCGUGCGCUGCCGACAACCCGACAACCAACACAACCGCACACUUCAAGGCUCAAACAACUGGAACACAAACAAUGGCAAUGAAUAUAUCAGGUGAUGUCGCUGGGUACUUAAUUUAAUCUAAUGGCAGAAAGUUACUAAACAAGACAAUUCUGCAUGUCAAAAACUCCCUUUCUGAACGGCACACACACAAUGGCAGGGAAUAUUAGGUGAAGUCAUUGGGUUCUCAUAGGCAGAAAGGUACUAAAAAGACAAGUCCGCAAGUCAUAACUCCCUUGCUGAAUGGUACACAAAGAUCGGCAAGGAAUAUCAGGUGAUGUUGCUAGGUACUUAUCAUCUGAAAGUUACUAAAAUGAAAAUAUCGCAUACCAAAACUCCCUUACUGAUCAGCACACAAAGAACAGCAAGGAAUAUCAGGUGAUGUUGCUAGGUACUUAUCAUCUGAAAGUUACUAAAAUGAAAAUAUCGCAUACCAAAACUCCCUUACUGAUCGACACACAAACAAUGGCAGGGAAUAUUAGGUGAAGUCAUUGGGUUCUCAUGGGCAGAAAGUUAUUAAAAAGACAGAAUCACAUGCCAAAACCUCCUUGGUGGUCGUCACACAAAGAUCGGCAGGGAAUAUCAGGUAUGCUGGGUACUUACUAUAGGUAGAAUCUCAUCUAUCGCCAGAAACUUACAAAAAAAAGACAGUAUCACACCCCAAAACUUCCUCAGUGAAUGGAUGGUGUUAACUCAUGCCUGCUAAGGAUAGUCAGAUCAGGGAUGGAUGUGACAUGAAAAGCCAUCAUUUGUAACGCCACUCAACUACCAAAACCUCUAACCUUCCUUGUAUCUGUCUCCACUUGCCUUCAGGAUCUCUUUCUAAUACGUACACAAAGAACAGCAAUAAAUAUCAGGUGAAGCCAAUAGGUUCUCAUAGGCAGAAUCUCGUCUAUCGGCAGAGUUACUAAAAAAAGAGUCGCAUGCCAAAAUUGCCUGGGUGAAUGGAUGGUGUUAUCUCGUGUCUGCUAAGUAAAGUCAGAUCAGGGAUGGAUGUGACAUGAAAAGCCAUCAUUUAUAACGCCACUCAACUACCAAAACCUCUAACCUCUCUUGUAUCUGUCUCUACUCUGCUUCAAGGAUCUCUUUCUAAUACGUAACGCCACACUUUCUCAUGCCUCAUACUAAGCUACACGGUGCCAGGCCUCGGUAAAAAGUAAGUAUGCGAAGUUAAAAGGGCAUUUCACACUGAUUGCAAGGGGUCUACGAAGUCUAUGAUAACUCCACACACACUUUCUCAUGUCUCAUACUAAGCUACACGGUGCCAGGCCUCAGUAAAAAGUAAGUAUGUGAAGUUAAAAGGCCAUUUCACACUGAUUGCAAGGGGUCUACGAUAUCUAUGAUAACUCCACACACACUUUCUCAUGCCUCAUACUAAGCUACAUGGUGCCAGGCCUCGGUAAAAAGUAAGAAUGUGAAGUAAAAGGGCAUUUCACACUGGAUGCAAGGCGUCUACGAUGUCUAUGAUAACUCCACACACACUUUCUCAUGUCUCACACUAAGCUACAUGGUGCCAGGCCUCGGUAAAAAGUAAGUAUGUGAAGUUAAAAGAGCAUUUCACACUGAUUGCAAGGGGUCUACAAUGUCUAUGAUAACUCCACACACACUUUCUCAUGCCUCAUACUAAGCUACACGGUGCCAGGCCUCGGUAAAAAGUAAGUAUGUGAAGUUAAAAGGGCAUUUCACACUGAUUGCAAGGCGUCUACGAUAUCUAUGAUAACUCCACACACACUUUCUCAUGCCUCACACUAAGCUACACGGUGCCAGGCCUCGAUAAAAAGUAAGUAUGUGAAGUUAAAAGGGCCAUUUCACACUGAUUGCAAGGUGUCUACGAAGUCUAUGAUAACUCCGCACACACUUUCUCAUGUCUCACACUAAGCUACACGGUGCCAGGCCUCGGUAAAAAGUAAGUAUGUGAAGUUAAAAGGGCAUUUCACACUGAUUGCAAGGCGUCUACGAUAUCUAUGAUAACUCCACACACACUUUCUCAUGUCUCACACUAAGCUACAUAGUGCCAGACUCGGUAAAAAGUAAGUAUGUGAAGUUAAAAGAGCAUUUCACACUGAUUGCAAGGCAUCUACGAUAUCUAUGAUAACUCCACACAUACUUUCUCAUGCCUCACACUAAGCUACACGGUGCCAGGCCUCGGUAAAAAGUAAGUAUGUGAAGUUAAAAGGGCAUUUCACACUGAUUCCAAGGAUGACAUCUAUGAUAACUCCAGACUUUCCAAUGUCUCACACUACGCAGGCAACACGGUGCUAGACCUGGUCAUUUUAGCGCCGGGCAGACCUAAAGAACCAGUCAACCGCUUGCACAGUCAACACAACCCCGUGAUCAGCUUGGGGUGGGUGUUGUUCUUCCUGUGUUCCCCUGACGGCAAUGCAGCUAAUCGUGCCCUAUGCCUCGGACACGCUGCCACAUGUACGCACUCGACACCACACUCCCUGUCUUUCCUACAAUUUGCAAGAGAAAUAAAACAAUCUAUUACGUGCAUCUGAAGUGACUGAUGUUCUAAGCGUUGUGAGAAGCAAGCCUCAUGUGACAGCCUCUUACAGAUCGGUGAAGCAGAUUAGAAAUAAAACAAUCUAUUACGUGCAUCUGAAGUGACUGAUGUUCUAAGCGUUGUGAGAAGCAAGCCUCAUGUGAAAGCCCCUUACAGAUCAGUGAAGCAGAUUAGAAAUAAAACAAUCUAUUACGUGCAUCUGAAGUGACUGAUGUUCUAAGCGUUGUGAGAAGCAAGCCUCAUGUGACAGCCCCUUACAGAUCAGUGAAGCAGAUUACACUCCAACCAUUUCAAAUUAGUCCGUUUGGCCGUUCGAUUCCUUGGGUCCUUUCCUCCCCUCUGCUAUGCCACACAGCCCCAACACCUAUUUCCCCCUCUCAUAUAUGACCUAUAGCUAACAUAUGAGAGGAAGGGACAGGUGUUGGGGCUAUGUGGCGGAGCAGAGGGAAGGACAGGACCCACAGAAUCGAACCCCCAAACGGACUAUUUGAAAUGGUUGGAGUAUAUUCGGCCAGGCAGGGAGAGAAGCAGGAGGAUGGUCAUGCACUGAAACACACUAGUAGAAGCAGGAAGCCUCCAUAUGAUCACCCCUUCACAGAUUAGCCGGCCAGGCAGAGAGAGAGAGAAGCAGGAGGAGGAUGGUCAUCAGCAUUGCCAAAUUAUCGUAUUCACCACCUCAUCUAUUACUUUUAAGCCACAAACUCUCGUACUUACACAAAUAACGAUAGGUAAUUGAAGUUAGCGUUAAAACUCCUAUUUACUGAUGUUUGUUUAUUUGUUUUUUGCAUUCGUUAUUGGUCAGAAACUACGGAAAUGCAAUGCGAUGAUGUUGAUGGUCAUGCACUGAAAACCACGAAUAGAGGCAAGAAGUCUCCAUGUGACAACCCCUUAAUAGAUCAAUGAAGCAGAUUAGCCGGCAGAUAAUGGACAUGCAAGUGGGUGGCGGAGGGAAGAGAGGAAGACCCAGGACGAGAUGGAAGGACUGUAUCGUGGCAGACAGCAGGGAGAAGAACUUGGACAUGGAAGUGCGUGGCGGAGGGAAGAGAGGAAGACCCAGGACAAGAUGGAAGGACUGUAUUGAACCUUGGACCUUGAAGUGGCAUAGGACAGGGUUAGAUGGAGGAGACCCAUCAUGAACAGCGACCCCAUAUAGAAAUAGGGAUACUAAUGCUGUGGAAGAAGAAGAAGAAGAAGCAGAUUAGCCGGCCAGACAGUGAGAGAGAGAGAAGCAGGAGGAUUACCAUGCACUGAAAGCCACUAGUAUAAGCAUUAAGGGUUGUUAAGCCCACAUAGAGUGCAGAAAUCAGGUGUUAGUAAUACACAGCGUUGACAGUUCCAGUGAGGGUGUUUAUUGUACACAAUGUAGUAGUUACAGACUGUACUCGGCAGCUGGCACACACUCACAACCGUUGCCACAUGCUCCCACUACAAGAAGGUGCGCCUCACGUGUCUCUCGGCCCCUACUGAUCUUUGACAUGCUCCCACACCCUCAACAGACGCGGCACCACAGUGGAACAUGCGCCCCUUCACCCCGGUCACUAAACAGAAGCUGGAAAGUUUGGUUUAGUCGGCGCAACAUCUGUGGUCAUAUGCCGGAGAGAGACAGGAGGAGAAGGAAUUAUAGGAGAAGGGAACAGACUCCAGGAGACGGGACACAACCCCCGAUUAAUACCUGGUAGUCACUAAACAAAAGUUGGAAAGUUUGGUUUAGUCGGCGCAACAUCUGUGGUCGUAUGCUGGAGAGAGACAGGAGGGGAAGGAAUUAUAGAAGGGAACAGACCCCAGGAGACGGGACACAACCCCCGAUUAAUACCUGGUACCCAUUCACUGCUGGGUGGACAGGGGCGUAUGGUAUCAGUCACUAAACAAUGGCGACCACCUUCACAUAGCCUUGGGGUCGGGACUGAAGGGCAAACCUGAUGCGGACACGAACAACUCGGAAUUGAAUUUUUUGUAGCUGGUAAGAUGCCAAAACUGUACUUUAUAGAGUGUGUGUGUGUGUGUGUGUGUGUGUGUGUGUGUGUGUGUGUGUGUGUGUGUGUGUGCAACCAUUAAGUAAGACGUGAAAGAUUCUGUAUGUACAGGUGUAAGUGGUAAUGGAAGAUACCUUUAAGUCUUGGGUCCGUCACAGCACAGACAAGGUAACGACAAUUCUUCAGGUGUCUUUUAAGUACACGGCUCAAGGCAUGACGCAAUGGCUGGCUUGGGGCGACACACUGGUGCAGCAACGAACAGCUGAUCGCACCGCUCCCGGCACCGCCAAUGAUAGUCCUCACGCUGCAGCAAUAGCCUGGGUCCCUUACCUCCCUAACCUGUUGGUGUCGGAUGCCUGAAGUAGCCGCUGCACUGCUCAGCGUUCAGUAUUAUCAACCAAGUGUAAUGUCUUGGUGAUAGUGUAUUCUUUAUCCCUUGAGGACAGAAGUAGGAAAGUUUCGUUUAGUCGGCGCAACAUCUGUGGUCAUAUGCCGGAGAGAGACAGAAGGGGAAGGAAUUAUAGAAGGGAACAGACCCCAGGAGACGGGACACAACCCCCGAUUAAUACCUGGUAGUCACUAAACAAAAGUUGGAAAGUUUCGUUUAGUCGGCGCAACAUCUGUGGUCAUAUGCCGGAGAGACAGAAGGGGAAGGAACUAUAGGAGACAGGAACAGACCCCAGGAGACGGGACACAACCCCCGAUCCCUUGAGGACAAAAUAUGUGUAAAAGCCUAACCAGAGAGUGUGUCGGCAGGUGCUAAGAGCCGCUGCCUUCCUUGAUUGUAUUUGAUUGUUACUGCGGAGAGUAACCGAGAGGAAAGGACCCGCGGAAUUGAAUGCCCAAACGGACUAUUUGAAAUGGCUUGCUUAUAGUUACAGCGUGAGGCUCCGAGUGAUGAGCGCCAUGCCACCAGACUGGACCAGAACCACUUGAGCAUCGAUGGCAAACUCUCGAACUCAGCCUCCUAUGUUUCCUGAUUUCUGACCCCAAUACAGGUAACUCUCGAUUUAUGCAAGUUUGGUUUACGCGUUUUUUAAAUAACGCAGGGUCCAAAAUCCAAAUAAAUGUUUAAUUUACACGUUUUUUUCACUUAUAUGCAACCCCAAUAACUGGUUUCAUAUGUAGUUAUUGUUAAAAUGGUUAAUUAUUGGUGAUUUUUGGGAAAGUUGGAAAGUUUCGUUUAGUCGGCGCAACAUCUGUGGUCAUAUGCCGGAGAGAGACAGAAGGGGAAGGAAUUAUAGGAGAAGGGACACAACCCCUAAUUAAUACCUGGUACCCAUUCACUGCUGGGUGGACAGGGGUGUAGGGUAUCAGAAAAGCUGCCCAAAUUUUUCCACUCCGCCCGGGAAUCGAGCCCGGGCUCUUUCGGUUGUGAGCCGAGCGUGCUAACCACUGCACCACGAAGCGCCCCGGUGAUUUUUGGGAAGAGUUAUAAUUCAGAAACCAGUAAAUAGGAGGCUCUGAGUACGAUAAUCUAGCAUCGUUGCAUUUGAGUAAGAGCAGGUGCUUGAGCCGAGGUUAUUGAAGACUCAGAGAAGAGAGUUUCCUACUGAAAACAACAACAACUCCUUCCUUGAGCUUAAAACGUUGCCUUAGCUAAGUAAACAAAAGACUAGCAGAGGGGUUCUCCUCCUCACUCGCCGAGACCUACACUUAGGGGAGCUACGUACUUGUGGUGGAGAAAAACCAUGCUGCCAAAUCAGGAAAAACUGCAGUACUAUCCUUAAGUUUGUUGCGUCCUAAAAUAAGUAUGAAGGAUGUGUGCAGACUAUUCUGACUAGAUUACAGGGCGGGUCCACAGCCCAACCCAGUGACUCGGUGCGUGCCUCAACCACCACUCAGAGCUUGGUAGUUUUCUUACACGGCGCACAAGACUAACGAAAUGACAAGGUUCUGACGCCAAACACUAUACAAGAGGUUUCCGUACAGCCUUCAGUGACUUACAGAACACCAGACAGACAUGACAAGGUUUCCAUACAGCCUUCAGUGACUUACAGAACACCAGACAGACAUGACAAGGUUUCCAUAUAGCCUUCAGUGACUUACAGAACACCAGACAGACAUGACAAGGUUUCUGUACAGCCUUCAGUGACUAACAGAACACCAGACAGACAUGACAAGGUUUCCAUAUAGCCUUCAGUGACUUACAGAACACCAGACAGACAUGACAAGGUUUCUGUACAGCCUUCAGUGACUAACAGAACACCAGACAGACAUGACAAGGUUUCCAUAUAGCCUUCAGUGACUUACAGAACACCAGACAGACAUGACAAGGUUUCUGUACAGCCUUCAGUGACUUACAGAACACCAGACAGACAUGACAAGGUUUCCAUAUAGCCUUUAGCAACACAGAAAACCAGAGAGACAUGACAUAAGAGGUUUCCAUAUAGCCUUCAGUGACUUACAGAAAACCAGACAGACAUGACAAGGUUUCCAUAUAGCCUUUAGCAACACAGAAAACCAGACAGACAUAAGAGGUUUUCGUAUAGCCUUCAGUGACUUACAGAAAACCAGAGAGACAUGACGAGAGGUUCCAUCUAGCCCUUAGUGCCUUACAGACAACCAGACUUGGGGUGUUGUCUUGUUAGGGCACCCAGGAAGCCACUGUGCCGGGCUGUGUUGCUGCCCUUCACGUUACAAGCCUAACAGUAGUAGAAGUCUUUUGAGGUUUGUACAAGUUAUGGGAGAACAUGACACACAUUAUCUGGCCUUGCUGCCAACACCCAUCUGGCUACAGGGAGGGAGGGAGGGAGGGGGAGCUGGCCUAACCCACACCUAGGAUUGACUAGAGUAACAAGCUAUUAAACAUUGCACCAUUUAUCCCCAAUGCCCCGCCAGAAGACACAACUCAAGGCACAAAGCAAUAAAUGAAAACUGGUACCAAGGCCCUUUCAUCACAGUGUACGGGGCGCCCUAAUGUGUCGUGCGUCGCCAGCGAGGAAUCAUAACGAAGCAGAGGAGAUGAGGCAGCGGGGAAACAAGGAGGAGGAAGAGAGGAAGCAGCCUAACCUAGCCCGCACUGUUGUUACACUGAAGCUAAACUCUGGCUACACCGCCCUAGGAGCAGACGAGGACGAGGGCGCCGGUAACGCAGUCGGGGAAGAGCCAGAACAUGAACGGUGCCGAUGUGUUGAAGGACUUACGUAAUACCAGUCAUACCACAACCGGCCUCUUGCAGACUCCUUAUGUUAUGCCUCACACAGAUAUUCCUGGUAGCAUUUCCCGCCCAUAGACUAUUGCGCCAGAACAUGAACUGUGGUGAUGUGUCUAAAAGUUCUCAUAAUACCACACCUCACGCCUCACACAGAUAUUCCCGGUAGCAUAUCCCACCCUUAACGCCCAUAAACUAUUGUGUCAGAACAUGAAUGGCACUGAUGUGUCUGAAGAUUCUCAUAACACCACACCUCACACAGACAUUCCCAGUA